rnacentral:rRNA from 1 species
GUGGGGAAUAUUGGACAAUGGGCGAAAGCCUGAUCCAGCCAUGCCGCGUGUGUGAAGAAGGUCUUCGGAUUGUAAAGCACUUUAAGUUGGGAGGAAGGGUAGUAACCUAAUACGUUGCUACUUUGACGUUACCGACAGAAUAAGCACCGGCUAACUUCGUGCCAGCAGCCGCGGUAAUACGAAGGGUGCAAGCGUUAAUCGGAAUUACUGGGCGUAAAGCGCGCGUAGGUGGUUCAGUAAGUUGGAAGUGAAAUCCCCGGGCUCAACCUGGGAAAUGCUUUCAAAACUGCUGAGCUAGAGUACGGUAGAGGGUGGUGGAAUUUCCUGUGUAGCGGUGAAAUGCGUAGAUAUAGGAAGGAACACCAGUGGCGAAGGCGACCACCUGGACUGAUACUGACACUGAGGUGCGAAAGCGUGGGGAGCAAACAGGAUUAGAUACCCGAGUAGUCC